GGCCGGUUGGCGAAAUGGUAUCGCGUCACUUUCCGGUACAUCUGGAGUAUGGUGAAGAUUGCGGGUUCGAGUCCCGUGCUGGUCG